rnacentral:rRNA from 1 species
GAUGAACGCUGGCGGCGUGCCUAAUACAUGCAAGUCGAGCGAACGGACGAGAAGCUUGCUUCUCUGAUGUUAGCGGCGGACGGGUGAGUAACACGUGGAUAACCUACCUAUAAGACUGGGAUAACUUCGGGAAACCGGAGCUAAUACCGGAUAAUAUUUUGAACCGCAUGGUUCAAAAGUGAAAGACGGUCUUGCUGUCACUUAUAGAUGGAUCCGCGCCGCAUUAGCUAGUUGGUAAGGUAACGGCUUACCAAGGCAACGAUGCAUAGCCGACCUGAGAGGGUGGUCGGCGAGACGGGAACGGAGACACGGUCCAGACUCCUACGGGAGGCAGCAGUAGGGAAUCUUCCGCAAUGGGCGAAAGCCUGAUGGAGCAAAGCCGCGGGAGUGAUGAAGGUCUUCGGAUCGUAAAACUCGGUUAGGAGGGAAGAACAAAUGUGUAAGUAACUAUGCACGUCUGGACGGUACCUAAUCAGAAAGCCACGGCUAACUACGUG